GACGAACGCUGGCGGCAUGCCUAAUACAUGCAAGUCGAGCGGAGUUGAUGGAAAGCUUGCUUUCCUGAUACUUAGCGGCGGACGGGUGAGUAACACGUAGGCAACCUGCCCUCAAGCUUGGGACAACUACCGGAAACGGUAGCUAAUACCGAAUACUUGUUUUCUUCGCCUGAAGAGAACUGGAAAGACGGAGCAAUCUGUCACUUGGGGCUGGGCCUGCGGCGCAUUAGCUAGUUGGUGAGGUAACGGCUCACCAAGGCGACGAUGCGUAGCCGACCUGAGAGGGUGAUCGACCACACUGGUACUGAGACACGGCUCAGACUCCUACGGGAGGCAGCAGUAGGGAAUCUUCCGCAAUGGGCGAAAGCCUGACGGAGCAAUGCCGCGUGAGUGAUGAAGGUUUUCGGAUCGUAAAGCUCUGUUGCCAGGGAAGAACGCUUGGGAGAGUAACUGCUCCCAAGGUGACGGUACCUGAGAAGAAAGCCCCGGCUAACUACGUGCCAGCAGCCGCCGUAA
rnacentral:rRNA from 1 species